rnacentral:rRNA from 1 species
GAGUUUGAUCGUGGCUCAGGAUGAACGCUGGCGGCGUGGAUAAGGCAUGCAAGUCAAGGGGACCGCAAGGUAACCGGCAGACGAGGUAGUAAUAAGUAGGAACAUACCCAGAAGUCGAGCAUAGCUUGUCGAAAGACAAGGUAAUUCUCGAUAGUCUCUACGGAGUAAAGAUUUAUCGCUUCUGGAAUGGCCUGCUCGGUAUCAGCUAGUUGGCAGUGUAAAAGACUACCAAGGCUAUGACGCCUAGGGGAGCUGAGAGGCUGACCCCCACCGAUGGGACUGAGAUACGGCCCAUACACCUACGGGUGGCUGCAGUCGAGAAUCUUCCACAAUGGACGAAAGUCUGAUGGAGCGACGCCGCGUGCAGGAUGAAGUUCUUCGGGAUGUAAACUGCUUUUAUGAGCGAGAAAGUUUAUUGAUCAGCUCAUGAAUAAGAGGUUGCUAAAACUCGUGCCAGCAGCCGCGGUAAC